AGCAGCCGCGGUAAUUCCAGCUCCAAUAGCGUAUAUUAAAGUUGUUGCAGUUAAAAAGCUCGUAGUUGAAUUUCGGGAUCAAUAUGUUGGUCGUGCCUUGGUACGUACUGGCAUUAUUGGUUUCUACCUUCUGAAGAACCUCGAUGUCAUUAAUUUGGUGUCUUGGGGAAUCAGGACUGUUACUUUGAAAAAAUUAGAGUGUUUAAAGCAGGCUCGCGCUUGAAUACAUUAGCAUGGGAUAAUGAAAUAGGACGUUUGAUUCUAUUUUGUUGGUUUCUAGGAUUGACGUAAUGAUUAAUAGGGAUAGUUGGGGGCAUUAGUAUUCAAUUGUCAGAGGUGAAAUUCUUGGAUUUAUUGAAGACUAACUACUGCGAAAGCAUUUGCCAAGGAUGUUUUCAUUAAUCAAGAACGAAAGUUAGGGAUCGAAGACGAUCAGAUACCGUCGUAGUC
rnacentral:rRNA from 1 species